rnacentral:tRNA from 1 species
GACCGAAUGGCGUAGUGGUUAGUGACCCUGACUACUGACCCGAUGGUCCCGGGUUCGAUUCCCGGCUGGGGCA